rnacentral:rRNA from 1 species
CCCUUAGAUGUUCUGGGCCACACGCGCGCUACACUGACACGUUCAUCAAGUCUAUAACCUUGACCGAGAGGUCUGGGUAAUCUUUUAAAAACGUGUCGUGCUGGGGAUAGAUUAUUGCAAUUAUUAAUCUUCAACGAGGAAUUCCUAGUAAACGCAAGUCAUCAACUUGCAUUGAUUACGUCCCUGCCCUUUGUACACACCGCCCGUCGCUACUACCGAUUGAAUGAUUUAGUGAGUACCAGGGACCGAGCGCUUUGGUUGGGUUUCCUUCCCUAGCGCUUGGGAACUGUCGCAAACUUGACCAUUUAGAGGAAGUAAAAGUCGUAACA